AUGUUAAUAUAUUAUUUUUAUCAAACUAUCAGAUUUAUUGACAUGGAAGUUUUUUGCCUUCGCACAAGCACAAAAGUUUUUUGCAUCACAACUUUUUUGUGA
rnacentral:rRNA from 1 species